UAGCGUAGGGUGCGACGCAUUUGUCCGGGAAUUAUUGGGCGUAAAGAGCUUGUAGGCGGUUUGUCGCGUCUGCUGUGAAAUCUCAAGGCUCAACCUUGAGCUUGCAGUGGGUACGGGCAGACUAGAGUGUGGUAGGGGAGACUGGAAUUCCUGGUGUAGCGGUGAAAUGCGCAGAUAUCAGGAGGAACACCGAUGGCGAAGGCAGGUCUCUGGGCCACUACUGACGCUGAGAAGCGAAAGCAUGGGGGAGCGAACAGG
rnacentral:rRNA from 1 species